rnacentral:tRNA from 1 species
GGAGGAGUGCCGGAGCGGUUGAACGGGACGGUCUCGAAAAUCGUUAUGGGGGCAACUCCAUCCAGGGUUCGAAUCCCUGCUCCUCCGCCA